GAUGAACGCUGACAGAAUGCUUAACACAUGCAAGUCUUUGGCGAAGCUGUGCUUGCACAGCCUAGCCAAGGCGGACGGGUGAGUAACGCGUAAGGGACUUGCCCUGCAGUCAGGGAUAACAGACGGAAACGACUGAUAAGACCUGGUAAAGUCAGGCGGACUCAUGUCCAGCCUGAUGAAAAGGAAUGCUGCAGGAGAGCCUUGCGUCCUAUUAGCUUGUUGGUGGGGUAACGGCCCACCAAGGCGAUGAUAGGUAGCCGGCCUGAGAGGGUGGACGGCCACAAGGGGACUGAGAUACGGCCCUUACUCCUACGGGAGGCAGCAGUGGGGAAUAUUGGACAAUGGGGGCAACCCUGAUCCAGCAAUUCUGUGUGCACGAUGAAGGUCUUCGGAUUGUAAAGUGCUUUCAGCAGGGAAGAAAAAAAGACGGUACCGCAGAAG
rnacentral:rRNA from 1 species